GGGCAAAGGCGCAGCAGCGGUAGG
rnacentral:siRNA from 1 species